UACAGAGGGUGCGAGCGUUAAUCGGAAUUACUGGGCGUAAAGCGCGUGUAGGUGGAUUGGUGUGUCAGAUGUGAAAGCCCUGGGCUCAACCCAGGAACUGCACCUGAAACUACCAGUCUUGAGUGGUGGAGAGGGAAGUGGAAUUCCUGGUGUAGAGGUGAAAUUCGUAGAUAUCAGGAGGAACACCAGUGGCGAAGGCGGCUUCCUGGACACUAACUGACGCUGAGACGCGAAAGCGUGGGGAGCAAGCAGG
rnacentral:rRNA from 1 species